rnacentral:rRNA from 1 species
AGAAUCAACGCUGGCGGCGUGCCUCAGACAUGCAAGUCGAACGAUUAAAGCUCCCUUCGGGGAGUGCAUAAAGUGGCGCACGGGUGAGUAACACGUAAGUAAUCUACCCUCGGGUGGGGGAAUAACGUUCGGAAACGGACGCUAAUACCGCAUAAUGCAGCGGCACCGCAAGGUGACAGUUGUUAAAGAUUUAUUGCCUGGGGAGGAGCUUGCGGCAGAUUAGCUUGUUGGUAAGGUAACGGCUUACCAAGGCUACGAUCUGUAUCCGGUCUAAGAGGACGGUCGGACACACUGACACUGAAUAACGGGUCAGACUCCUACGGAGGCAGCAGUCGGGAAUUUUGGGCAAUGGGGGAAACCCUGACCCAGCAACGCCGCGUGAAGGAUGAAGUAUUUCGGUAUGUAAACUUCGAAAGAAUAGGAAGAAUUAAUGACGGUAUAUUUAUAAGGUCCGGCUAACUACGUGCCAGCAGCCGC